rnacentral:lncRNA from 1 species
UCAACACCAGGUAACUGACCAGGCUCCUUCCCCCAGUACUCAACACCAGGUAACUGACCAGGCUCCUUCCCCCAGUACUCAACACCAGGUAACUGACCAGGCUCCUUCUCCCAGUACUCAACACCAGGCUCCUUCCCCCAGUACUCAACACCAGGCUCCUUCCCCCAGUACUCAACACCAGGCUCCUUCCCCCAGUACUCAACACCAGGUAACUGACCAGGCUCCUUCUCCUAGUACUCAACACCAGGUAACUGACCAGGCUCCUUCUCCCAGUACUCAACACCAGGUAACUGACCAGGCUCCUUCCCCCAGUACUCAACACCAGGUAACUGACCAGGCUCCAUCUCCCAGUACUCAACACCAGGUAACUGACCAGGCUCCUUCUCCCAGUACUCAACACCAGGCUCCUUCUCCCGGUACUCAACACCAGGCUCCGUCUCCCAGUACUCAACA